rnacentral:rRNA from 1 species
AUUGAACGCUGGCGGCAGGCUUAACACAUGCAAGUCGAGCGGUAACAGAGAGAAGCUUGCUUCUCUGCUGACGAGCGGCGGACGGGUGAGUAAUGCCUAGGAAUCUGCCUAGUAGUGGGGGAUAACUUGCCGAAAGGUAAGCUAAUACCGCAUACGUCCUACGGGAGAAAGGAGGGGACCUUCGGGCCUUUCGCUAUUAGAUGAGCCUAGGUCGGAUUAGUUAGUUGGUGAGGUAAUGGCUCACCAAGACCGCGAUCCGGAACUGGUCUGAGGGGAGGAUCAGUCACACUGGAACUGAGACACGGUCCAGACUCCUACGGGAGGCAGCAGUGGGGAAUAUUGGACAAUGGGGGGAACCCUGAUCCAGCCAUGCCGCGUGUGUGAAGAAGGUCUUAGGAUUGUAAAGCACUUUAAGUUGGGAGGAAGAGCAGUUAACUAAUAUUUGACUGUUUUGACGUUACCGACAGAAUAAGCACCGGCUAACUUCGUGCCAGCCGCCGCAGUAA